GGUCCAAUAGUGUAGAGGUUAUCACACGGAUUCUGAUGCUUUGGGCUGCCCAUUUGAGAUUUCCCGUGACCCAGGUUCGAGUCCUGGUUGGACCU